AUUGAACGCUGGCGGCAGGCCUAACACAUGCAAGUCGAACGGUAACAGGAAGAAGCUUGCCUCUUUGCUGACGAGUGGCGGACGGGUGAGUAAUGUCUGGGAAACUGCCUGAUGGAGGGGGAUAACUACUGGAAACGGUAGCUAAUACCGCAUAACGUCGCAAGACCAAAGAGGGGGACCUUCGGGCCUCUUGCCAUCGGAUGUGCCCAGAUGGGAUUAGCUAGUAGGUGGGGUAACGGCUCACCUAGGCGACGAUCCCUAGCUGGUCUGAGAGGAUGACCAGCCCCACUGGAACUGAGACACGGUCCAGACUCCUACGGGAGGCAGCAGUGGGGAAUAUUGCACAAUGGGCGCAAGCCUGAUGCAGCCAUGCCGCGUGUAUGAAGAAGGCCUUCGGGUUGUAAAGUACUUUCAGCGGGGAGGAAGGGAGUAAAGUUAAUACCUUUGCUCAUUGACGUUACCCGCAGAAGAAGCACCGGCUAACUCCGUG
rnacentral:rRNA from 1 species